rnacentral:tRNA from 1 species
GAGGGUAUAGCUCAGUGGCAGAGCACAUGCUUAGCAUGCACAAGGUCCUGGGUUCAAUCCCUAGUACCUUGG